UACGAAGGGGGCUAGCGUUGUUCGGAAUUAUUGGGCGUAAAGCGCGCGCAGGCGGUCUUUUAAGUCUGAUGUGAAAGCCCACGGCUCAACCGUGGAGGGUCAUUGGAAACUGGGAGACUUGAGUGCAGAAGAGAAGAGUGGAAUUCCACGUGUAGCGGUGAAAUGCGUAGAGAUGUGGAGGAACACCAGUGGCGAAGGCGACUCUUUGGUCUGUAACUGACGCUGAGGCGCGAAAGCGUGGGGAGCAAACAGG
rnacentral:rRNA from 1 species